rnacentral:rRNA from 1 species
GUAGGGGACAAGCGUUAUCCGGAUUUACUGGGCGUAAAGCGCCCGUAGGCGGCUUUUUAAGUUGGACGUGAAAGCUCCCGGCUUAACUGGGAGAGGCCGUUCAAAACUGAGAGGCUAGAGUGAGGCAGAGGAGCGCGGAAUUCCCGGUGUAGUGGUGGAAUGCGUAGAUAUCGGGAGGAACACCAGUGGCGAAAGCGGCGCUCUGGGCCUAAACUGACGCUGAGGGGCGAAAGCGUGGGGAGCGAACGGGAUUAGAUACCCCGGUAGUCCACGCCGUAAACGAUGGAGACUAGGUGUAGGCGGAUAGAACCCCGUCUGUGCCGAAGCCAACGCGUUAAGUCUCCCGCCUGGGGAGUACGGCCGCAAGGUUAAA